UCUGAUAUUUGCCUCUUUCUCAUAUUUAUUCUGAAAUAAAAAUGCAAGUAAGAAAUGAAAGGGGAAAAACAUUUAAAAAAAAUGACUGCAAUAAGAAAGCAUUUUUGGAAUAGGCUAUAUGAUCAACUGAAAUAAGGGUUUGCUUCUUUUGAUAUUCUAGGGAGAUUUUCAAUAGAUAUUGGAUUGGAAACCAAGGCCUUAUGCUUUCCUCAGAAGUUUAUGAUAAAGGCACUGAAAUUUGGAGAUAUGCCGAAGUACUUGUGGGAGAUUUGGGUACCUGACAAACCAUGGGUGCCGCAGGACGAAUUCUACGACCAGGCCUCACCGGACAAGAGGACUGAAGCUGACGGCAACUCCGACCCCAACUCCGUGCUGAAAGAAGAUAAGGACAAUUGAAGUGAUGUGACCUAUCACCUCAUAUGUGCUGUGGCGGCUCUCUCCAUGUGCUAUGGACCCAGUCACUCCCUGGGUAGAAUAACACACAAUUUCCAUUGAUUUUGGUGGGAGCUGAACACAGGCAA
rnacentral:lncRNA from 1 species